UUUUCUAUAUACGUUAUGGAUGAUAGUCUUACCCAUCCCUUAAUCACUAAAACCUUGCUAGUAUCCAUCUUUAUGGCGUGGGGAGUCAGAACAUGUCCGAGAAAUAUAAUCUCCUGCACCCCAAAGACACAUUUUUCCUGUGUAGCAGAUA